rnacentral:rRNA from 1 species
AACGGACGCUGGCGGCAUGCCUAACACAUGCCAGUCGAACGAGACCUUCGGGUCUAGUGGCGCACGGGUGCGUAACGCGUGGGAACCUGCCCUUAGGUUCGGAAUAACUCCCCGAAAGGGGUGCUAAUACCGGAUAAUGUCUUCGGACCAAAGAUUUAUCGCCUUUGGAUGGGCCCGCGUUGGACUAGCUAGUUGGUAGGGUAAAAGCCUACCAAGGCGACGAUCCAUAGCUGGUCUGAGAGGAUGAUCAGCCACACUGGGACUGAGACACGGCCCAGACUCCUACGGGAGGCAGCAGUGGGGAAUAUUGGACAAUGGGCGAAAGCCUGAUCCAGCAAUGCCGCGUGAGUGAUGAAGGCCUUAGGGUUGUAAAGCUCUUUUACCCGGGAUGAUAAUGACAGUACCGGGAGAAUAAGCUCCGGCUAACUCCGUG